GAUGAACGCUGGCGGCGUGCUUAACACAUGCAAGUCGAACGGAAAGGCCGAAGCUUGCUUCGGUACUCGAGUGGCGAACGGGUGAGUAACACGUGGGUGAUCUGCCCUGUACUUCGGGAUAAGCUUGGGAAACUGGGUCUAAUACCGGAUAUGACGAUCUCUUGGAUGGGGUUGUGGAAAGCUUUUGCGGUAUGGGAUGAGCUCGCGGCCUAUCAGCUUGUUGGUGGGGUAAUGGCCUACCAAGGCGUCGACGGGUAGCCGGCCUGAGAGGGUGUACGGCCACAUUGGGACUGAGAUACGGCCCAGACUCCUACGGGAGGCAGCAGUGGGGAAUAUUGCACAAUGGGCGCAGGCCUGAUGCAGCGACGCCGCGUGGGGGAUGACGGCCUUCGGGUUGUAAACUCCUGUCGCAAUCGACGAAGCCUUUUGGUGACGGUAGGUUGAGAAGAAGCACCGGCUAACUACGUG
rnacentral:rRNA from 1 species